rnacentral:lncRNA from 1 species
GCUCCUGGAAACAUUUUAUGCCACCCCGUCCUUGCACACUGGACUGGACUGGACUAAACUCGCUCAAUGACACUACUCUCUCUGCCCCAGGAGCCAGGCAGGAAGCUAGAAAGUCCCCAUGCUGGGAGCCACACUGAGGGACAGAGGAGGAGGUCCGAAAUACUGGAGCUUUUUCUCUUUCAGGUUUUUCUUUUAUCAAGUUCAUUUGGCACAAGAGUUGCUCUCGAAGCAUGAAGGGGGCUUGCAGUGAACAUCAUUUUUGUUUUAAAGGAGAAAUGUAUUUUUAUCUGUUAAAAAAAACUUUUUUUUUUUUUUUUGCAUUUUAACCACAUGUUGAAAUAUGUUUGGGGCACUAAAUGCAACUCAAAUUGAGCUGGCUUUUGCAAAAUUAGUCACUAAACCAUUUCUCAGAGCAACAGAAGUAUAUGUGUGCCUGGAUCCUACUCUCUACACCACAUGCCUUAAAACUGGCGCCCUGGCAGGAUGGAGAAUGCUGUCCUGCAGGCACCCUUCCCCCUCACCUUGCCUUGGAGCAAAUGCUUCCUGGCCCUUUGGGUUCUCCUGUGCACUCUGUCCAAUUUUCUGCUGGGCUGUUAGUCUAAUUCGCUCUAUGUUUUGGGUAAUAAAUAUGUGUAGUUUAUGCACCGCAAAUAUUUUCUCACAGUCUUUGACUUUUCAUUUCACCUUUUGAGGCACAAAAGCUUUCAUUUUUCCUAUAAUACAAUCUACCAGUUUUUCUUUGAGUCUUUGUUUUAUGUGUCUUAAAAAUAUGACUCUACCCUAAAGCCAUAGAGUUAUUCUCCCAUACAUCUUCUAAAUGUUUUAGGUUGAUUUUUUGAGACUGGUAGGGAGUAAGAAUUUACAUUUUUCAUUUUACAACCAACUGUCCCAGCCCAGCUCCUUAUUUGUGAAACCUGCUGUUCUAAGUAUCAGGUUCUCUCAUCUCUGCACAUCUUUCUGCCUCUAUUCACACCCAUCAUGCCACUGCUUCUCUCUAGAGUCUUAAUUGUCAGAGCCCAAG